UGGGGAAUAUUGCACAAUGGAGGGAACUCUGAUGCAGCGACGCCGCGUGAGUGAAGAAGUAUUUCGGUAUGUAAAGCUCUAUCAGUAGGGAAGAUAAUGACGGUACCUACAUAAGAAGCCCCGGCUAAAUACGUGCCAGCAGCCGCGGUAAUACGUAGGUGGCAAGCGUUGUCCGGAUUUAUUGGGCGUAAAGCGAGCGCAGGCGGUCAAUUAAGUCUGAUGUGAAAGCCCCCGGCUCAACCGGGGAGGGUCAUUGGAAACUGGUUGACUUGAGUGCAGAAGAGGAGAGUGGAAUUCCAUGUGUAGCGGUGAAAUGCGUAGAUAUAUGGAGGAACACCAGUGGCGAAGGCGACUCUCUGGUCUGUAACUGACGCUGAGGCUCGAAAGCGUGGGGAGCGAACAGG
rnacentral:rRNA from 1 species